UACAGAGGUGGCAAGCGUUGUUCGGAAUUACUGGGCGUAAAGGGCGCGUAGGCGGUCCGAUAAGUCCCGUGUGAAAUCCCUCGGCUCAACUGAGGAAUGGCACGGGAAACUGACGGGCUUGAGUUCGGGAGAGGGAAGCGGAAUUCCGGGUGUAGCGGUGAAAUGCGUAGAUAUCCGGAGGAACACCGGUGGCGAAGGCGGCUUCCUGGACCGACACUGACGCUGAGGCGCGAAAGCUAGGGGAGCAAACGGG
rnacentral:rRNA from 4 species